rnacentral:lncRNA from 1 species
AUCGAUAUAAAGACUAUUAUCAAGUACUUAAUGUAGAGAAAAAACAUGAUAGGAACAUCUACUUUGUAAAUCACAUAAUGAGUGAGCCUUAGUUUUAUAAAUUAAGGAGCAAAACAAUUUCGUCCACACUUCAUUCCUUAACAUCCUUUAAACCAGAAUUACAAUCAAUCGAGAAAUCUUCAUGAUGUUGUCAUCAAUUAGGCGUACAAUUUACGUGUUGGAAUUUGAGAAUACGAGGCUUCCAGCAGGACCUUCCUUUGGAGGUAAUGAUCAAAUGGUCAACAAUAUAAGGGUGCAAAAUGAAGUCCAAGCACAACAAAGGUAUAAUUUCCUGCUGGAAAAGUAAAUUUCAUAAUUCUGAAACUACAUAAAAUAAAAAAUGCACUAUGUCAGAUGCUUGCUUUCACCUACAGAAAACAGAAGUCACCAACCACCACAUAGGAAUUGCAUACAUGAAGUUCUUUCCAGUUUGAAAGGCCAAUUAGCUAGAGAACAAAAUAAAAGAAUAAACCAAGGCAGUAUGAUUAGAAAGGAAACAAAAAUAGCAAUAGCGCAUAUUAACUUACCAAUUCAAAAUCAAUUAGUGACUACAACAAAGGACAAGUGGUCGAUUUGCUGAUCUCAUGAGUUCACAAAGCAUGUCUAUGGCAAGCACACAACAGGCAGGCCUGCCAUCACGCACAUAUCAGGAACAUCCGUGGCAGGCAUGCAGGCAGCAAGCACGCCGACCGCGCGCAGGCAGCAAGCACGCCCAAAUCCUCACGCCCGCUUCCCCCCUGCCUCCUCACGCGGCUGCUUUCCCUCGGGGCCUAGCCACCGGUGUACCCCAAACUCGCCGGGUCACCGCGCCACCAAAUCCGUCGGACGCAGUGCCCCUGAAGACCACCCAUCCCGCCGCUAGUCGCUAGCCACAGCCGCGCACAUGCUCCCAAGCCGCCGCGCCACAAAAAUGCGAGAGGAGGGAAGGAAGAGACAAGGGGGAGACGGGAGAAGGGAGGCCGAC